rnacentral:rRNA from 1 species
GAUGAACGCUGGCGGCGUGCCUAAUACAUGCAAGUCGAGCGAACAGACGAGGAGCUUGCUCCUCUGACGUUAGCGGCGGACGGGUGAGUAACACGUGGAUAACCUACCUAUAAGACUGGGAUAACUUCGGGAAACCGGAGCUAAUACCGGAUAAUAUAUUGAACCGCAUGGUUCAAUAGUGAAAGACGGUUUUGCUGUCACUUAUAGAUGGAUCCGCGCCGCAUUAGCUAGUUGGUAAGGUAACGGCUUACCAAGGCGACGAUGCGUAGCCGACCUGAGAGGGUGAUCGGCCACACUGGAACUGAGACACGGUCCAGACUCCUACGGGAGGCAGCAGUAGGGAAUCUUCCGCAAUGGGCGAAAGCCUGACGGAGCAACGCCGCGUGAGUGAUGAAGGUCUUCGGAUCGUAAAACUCUGUUAUUAGGGAAGAACAAAUGUGUAAGUUACUAUGCACGUCUUGACGGUACCUAAUCAGAAAGCCACGGCUAACUACGUGC